CGAUGUGAUCAUACUAGCUCUAAAGCAACGGAUCCUAUCAGAACUCCGAAGUUAAACGUGCUUGGGCGAGAGUAGUACUAGGAUGGGUGACCUCCUGGGAAGUCCUCGUGUUGCAUUUC
rfam:Triticum aestivum genome assembly, contig: Triticum_aestivum_CS42_TGACv1_scaffold_052132_1BS